GCUAUAGAAUGGACAAACUGCAGAGAUACAUAAAUAAAUUAGCACAAAUAUAAAAGUAAUUAGUAAGAGUUUGAAUAAUUAGAAUAUAAUAACUACACUACAGAGAAAAAUUCCGAACAACGGUAAGAACCAUAUUUAUAAUUAGACUUUGUAACAUAACUACUAAUAAAUUGCUAUUUCUUAUUGGUAGUUGGUUUAGUUUAUCACCUAAUACCACGAAUAAACAUCAUAUAUAUUUUCCAUGAAAUAAAUAUACAUUACAGUUUAACAAUUCAAAGUAAAUAAAUGAUUCUUCCUUGAAAGAAAAUAUAAUAUUAUAUAAAACAUUAUAUCCAAUUAACAAAAAUACCAGUAACUAUUAUUUUUAUUCAUACUUUACAAAUUAAUUAUAUCGAUCAUUUGUUAAAUAAUUAAUAUCAAAAGACGUCAGAACCUUGUGGGACAUUCUGCAGAGUAAUCUGGAAUAAAACUAGACAAACAAUCAAAAAAUAAAAGUUCAGUAAUAAUCGAGAGAUUUGAUCAAUAAUUAAUGAGUAAUGAAUUGAUAUAAAAUUAAAAAAAAAGCGUACUCUUCUCGAUUGAUGGAGCAAGAAUACAUUUAGUAUUAACUUCUACUUCAAUUAUUUGAGGUCGGCUCUACCAUAAUGAUAUGGAAGAAUUUCACACUAGCUAUCAAUCUGAUACAACCUCGUUAUGGCUGAUAGAGUCACUGUUAAAACUUCCAAAAGGUCAUCCAUCCGGAAAUAAACAGCAAAUAGCGCAGUUGAACAUUAGUUUUAAGGCGUCGACUGAAUAAUUCACUGAACUACUUUAUGUUACUCAUUAUAAUAUAAAAUCAUAUAUUUUUUGGUAAUUGUAAUGACAGUAAAAAAAUUUAAUUUAUACAUUAAUAUUUGACUAAAUGAUGUUUUCUUCUUUUUCUGUGGAUUAACA